GCCGCCUUAGCUCAGUAGGUAGAGCGUUUGCAUGGUAAGCAAAAGGUCACCAGUUCAAUCCUGGUAGGUGGCUCUA
rnacentral:tRNA from 1 species